CCGCCCACCGACUGACACCCUGCCCACUGACUGACAGUCCCGCUCAUCAACUGACAGCCGCGCCAUCCGAACUGGUGGUCCACCAUCUACUGAUAGACCCGCCAUAGACUGAUUAUCGCCCACGUACUGACAGAAACAUCGAUAUUCCUGCUCCUCGGAUGAUGCCUGACCUGCUGUGCUUUUCCAGCACCACACUAAUCUAACCUAGACUCUGAUUUCCAGAUUCUGUAGUCCUGACUUUUGCCGAAACCCAUCCACUGCAUGGCAGCCCCGCCCACAGAGCGGCAGCUCCGCCCCCAGAUGACAGUCCCGCCCACUGACUGACCCGACACCAGACUGAAAGCCCCGCCCAUAGACUGACAGUCCCGCCCCCAGAGUGAAGAAAGGUGUUUUCAUUAAUUACGAUCUUCCGCAAAGUGACUUAUGCUGCCUUAUCUAGAAUAAUAUCCUCUAUGUCAAAGGCUCAUUUAGGGUCAUUCCAUGACCCACCCGUCACAAUGUUUGGAAGUCUGAUACUAUCCUGCCCUUUGUGUAUGAUGUGAAUAUUUGUGAUGUGGAGGUGCCAGUGUUGGACUGGGGCGGACAAAGUCAGAAAUCAUACAACACUAGGAUAUACUCUAACAGAUUUAUUUGGAAGUUCAAGCUUUAGGAGCGCUGCCCCUUCGCCAGGUAACUAGUGCUCACUAGUGCUGACUGCUCACUUUACUAAGGACCUGUUUUGUUUCUGCUACUGAGCACUUUGGAGCUGUGACCAAUGGAUCCAGCCACAGGAGGGGUCAUUGUCACGGUGGCUCUGGUGCCACAAUGACACUGAGGAAUUGAGGGGGAACAGAUUCGCCAGCCAGCCCAGAACUAAUCUCCAGCAGCCACCAUACUGCUUCACCAUACAGAAGUCACAGUUGACAUUACUCUGAGGAACAUCCUGCUGGAUGUAGAGAAUAUAUCAUCCUCGAUUUUCUCCAGAUGAGUGAGGUACAAUGUCACCACAGACUGAGGAUGUCCUGAAACACCAUCACAGAUCUUCUGGAGCAGGAUCUGCACCCUGAACAGAUCCCCUUAGUUUGUUCAAUUAUUCUUUAAACAGAAGGUACCAUCAGCCCUCUAAGGUGGAUGUGAAAGAUCCUACAAAGACACAAAAGGAACCAGGUCUAAAAGUGGAUCCCUUCGAUUGUGACCAGACGCAGUCUGCAGGAAAUUUUGCUGAACACAGACUAGGAAUGUUUGCUUCUUAUAACUCUUUUUUUUAAUAAAUAUUCUUGUUGAAAAGAUUUUAGGUUUUUUACAAAAUUACAAAACCAGUACAAAAUAGUAUGACAAUUUAUAGUAGAGUCAUAGUCAUAGAGUCAGAGAUGUACAGCAUGGAAACUGACCCUUCGGUCCAACCCGUCCAUGCCG